rnacentral:misc_RNA from 1 species
UCAUAUAUUAGCUUUAGUUGCUAUCUGUUAUCAGAGUUGGGUCCUAAAGGAGUAGCCCAA